CAGCAGUAGCCACGGUAAUACAGAGGGUGCGAGCGUUAAUCGGAUUUACUGGGCGUAAAGCGUGCGUAGGCGGCUUCUUAAGUCGGAUGUGAAAUCCCUGAGCUUAACUUAGGAAUUGCAUUCGAUACUGGGAAGCUAGAGUAUGGGAGAGGAUGGUAGAAUUCCAGGUGUAGCGGUGAAAUGCGUAGAGAUCUGGAGGAAUACCCAUGGCGAAGGCAGCCAUCUGGCCUAAUACUGACGCUGAGGUACGAAAGCAUGGGGAGCAAACAGGAUUAGAUACCCCUGUAGUCCCUGUCUCUUAUAC
rnacentral:rRNA from 1 species